CAUCCACCCGCGCGCGUACACGCGACGCACCCUUGCUGGUGCCUGCGGCGGCGGCGGCGGCGCCGGGCAAAUCGCUGGCCGCGGUUCCGGUCGACGACGACGGCGAUUAAUUUCUUCGAGUUCGCCGCCCGGCCGUGGCCUCGCUGCACGUAAUAUUGCGGUUCAUCGAUCCACCCCAAACCGUACGUACGUCCUUCCCCCACGAUCCAUGUUUGUCCACAAGAAAUAAAAUGCAUGCACCCGUUUUGUAUCUAGUUGUGUUUACUUGUGUGUAGCUGCAGGGAUAUGGUUUUUACUGCUUCAGUUAUGAUCGUGUAAAUUGUCACAAAACUAAAGAUGGCAUUUGCGGGCUCCAAUACACCUCUUUUUCUUUUUCUUUUUCUUUUUCUUUUUUUUUAAAAAAAAUGCACGAAUCUCAAAGUAGCAUGUCUUACCAUCCAAGUCCAGCUCCUGACCCACGCGAGCUCUGCUCAUCGGCGUCAUUGUUUUUUUUUUUUUUUGACAAGUGUGGCAUCAUUGGUUAGACAGGCUCCUGCUUCUCCUCAGCAUGCGAAUUUGAUUGCUGCUGGCUAGCUCCAGCAUGCCGUGAGGUCACUGAGGUUCAUAUUGAUCCAUGCACGCACGCGCAGAAGUCAAGUUGCUUCUUGCAUGCAUUUGUCCACAAUCCUUCCACGAGUACCGAGAUACCUUUGCCCUCUGCUCUUAAGGGCAUGUGCUCCUACUUUUUUUAUUACUGGAUUCGUAUUAAAAAGUGUGUGAACACACAUCUUAAAGUAAAUUCGUUUUUGUACACUUCUCAGUGCGAAUCCAGUGAGACACUUCCAACUGUUGCUCUUCCACGACGUCGGGAAGGAGCCGCGCUAUGCCAUACGUUAGCAGCAAAAGCGCAAGAGAUCUCUUCCUAGGUCAUAUCGCUGCCAGUAUCCUGGAUGGUUCAGCCCCACGAUUGUAAUCCUGUAGAUCUCUCCUAGUAGGGAGCUCGCCAGAAGUGCUUGUUUUGGAUCAAACAUUUCUACCUUAAUAAUUACAAAGAUGCACAAUUUUUUUUUUAAAAAAAGAUCUGUGCAGUUUUAGAAUGACGAGGAGCACUGGAGCUGGAGUAGUUCUCGAUAUGACAUGACCAAUGGAUAUCCAAAAACAAUAGCGAAGUGGCAUGGGUAAUCAACACACAAAUCUCAUCAAGGCAUCACAAUUCACAAAACCUUAGGAAGAAUUCCAGUUAUAUAUGAUGACGGCAUGCGUAAACACCAAGAAUAUCAUUUAGCUAGCACCUGUGCAAUUAAUACCAUCGUUUUGCUCGAUGGAACUAGCUAGCCCAGUUUUUUAUUUUCAUCUGACCACGCGUACGUAUAGGAACUCAAAUACAGUAACUCGCUACUGUAUAUACUGUCAAGCACGAAAUGCAACCUGAUCAGUUAGUUGUUGCAGGCUUGCAGCACCAAACUUUGGCCAUUACAAGGUAGGCUGCAUAUCACAACACACAAGGGGGAGCAUCAAACUACACUAGCUCCCCUCCAGGGUCCAGGGACACUGCAAGGUUGGCAGGCCCAAGCUAGCACAACGCAACAAUGUACAGUCUCGCAACCCACAAGCUAAGGCCACAAUCAGUACAAGCAUCGAUCAGUAAGACGGAGCAGUCCCAGGUAGGUGCACGGUGCACGCCAACGCCCACAUGCACUCAUCAGCUGGACAGAUCCGUGCCUCAUGCCGUUCCUUGCUCCUGACUUGUAACGCCCUCGCUCUUCUGGCCGCUUGUACUCGCUCCACUGUUUUGUUUCGCCAACAUGUUCAUCUGAUGACCAUACCAAAGUAGGAAUUAGCAUAGCACUGGAUUUCAUUUGGCAGUUUUAAUCAGUAAUUUAGCCAACUGAUCAUUUCAGGGUGCAAGCUAUAGAGACUUGAUCACAAGGCUCCAGCAUAUAUAAUCCAGAUGUUGUCUCACUGAAAGCUUAUUCAGAAAAAGAACUGUUAAGAUAUACUCCUAUGUGCAUCUUUCGAUGAUUCCUAUUUUUUUUAGGAAAACAGGGGGCUUGCCCCUACUGAAGAUCAAUUAAGUAAAGAAAACAGAGCACAGUUAUAAAACAGAGUACAGUUACAGAACCAGGGGGGAAGAGAAGCGUAAGAAACAAAAAAAUUACACCACUUGUGCGGUUGUGCCAACAGAUCGAGCUCUCUCAGAAGUCUUUCCAUGCAAGGUCUGACAUUUCUGCACUGAAGUUAGAUUGCUCGCAGUUGUCCAGUAGCAGCCUGCCAGCCUGUCUAAAGUACUUGCCCAUUCCAAUAGUACUUGCAGGUAAGGUAGCAAUUUACACAGAGUGCAAAGAUAGAAGCUAGCAACAUCCAAAUAAAACAACAAAAACUAGCAGCAUUCAAAGAAAUUUGGUAUUCUGCACUCCCUUAUUAUUGGGUUGUCAUUAACCAAAAUGAAGGGUACGCCAAAGCUGUGAGAUGCUGAACUAGCUACCCAAAGGCACCACAGUUUGGACUAAUCUCAACUUGAAUAAGGCACAAAGAUAGAAGCAGAAAACAGCUUCGGUUAGUUUCAUGAAAACUAAUCAAGGGUCCUGCUUGUGGGCUUAUUGUUCAGAUUUCAAGAAAAGAAUGUCAUACCUUCCUGGAUCUCGUAUCCUUCAAAGCAUUUCUCAGAAGAUUUUCCAGCUUCUGCAGCCCAUCGACAUCUGAU
rnacentral:lncRNA from 1 species